UUAUCAAUUACAAGAGCAAAAUUUUAAAUCCCAAACUAAAAGCAAUACUCAAUUGUUUCUCCCCCUAAGAGUUUCAAGAGUAAAAACUGAUAAAAGAUGUGAUAGAUAUAAUUUCUCUCUUUCUAACUAUUUAUACUUUCUAAAAAUAUUCUUCUGCAUCCCCUUCGACGACAUUAGUAGGGUUCAGCAAACUAACUCAGCAGAUCGUCGUUCUUAUCUGUGAGCUCACCUUUACUAGCUUCAGGCUUCAGGUUUGAACACGAAUAGGAGGACUCAAUGGAAUAUGUUUUUCACGAUUGGAGAAUCAGACAAUAUCCUUGUGCUCCUAAGAUAGCCUUCAAUUUACUCUUCAGUCGGUCACUAUCGGCAAUGCAUUUGGGUUCGCCGUUAUCAAAUCGGUGGAUCACCGAUGCAGUUCUCCUUCACCAAUUUAAUUGAACAUUUGGACCUUAAAGAGUUUCCAUUUUGGCGAGGCUCAACCAUUUGGGUGAUUCGACCUUUCGAUUAAGCGAACAUCAGGCUUCAAAUGAGUGUAAAUCUUCCACUCAUCAGUUAGAGGCAGAUUUUAUAGCAAGGUCGAGGCUGUGGUAGAGGCAGAGGACAAUUUAGUGAGUCACAUCAAUCCAAGAGUAACUUGCAAUGUUGGUAUUGCAAGAAUUUUGGCCACACUAAAGCAUAUUGUUAGACCAAGCAAAUAUAUGAGCAGAAGCACACCGAUUUCACCGAUGGAUGCUCGAAACAUUUGUCUGGUACAAAGUCUCCAUUUAGAAAUAUUGAUGAGUCAAAAAAGAGUGAAGCUCGGUUCGGUGAUGACAAGAAAGUACGAGUUGCAGGCAAAGGUAACAUAGCCAUCAAAACAAUGUAGGGUAAUUCUACAUUAAUGUGUGCUGUGCAAUUCAAUCCUAGUUUGCCUUACAAAUUGCUAAAGUGUUGGACAAUUGAUGGUGAAUUGUUAUUCUGCUUUGUUUGAUAAUGAUUCAUGUAUUUUCAGUGACAAGAAAUCAGAUUAAACUAUUGAAAGUAUGUCUAUGACUCAGAUAUGCUUCCCUUUAGUGUUUCAGAUAUUGUUAAGAAUGUGUUAGUUGCUAAUGCUGUUAAUGAAACUCAAUUUUGAAAUCUUCGCUAUGGUCAUUUGAACAUUAAUGGGCUGAAACUGUUGACUAGAAAGAACAUGGUAGUUGGUUUACCAAAAGUGGGUGAGCUUGAGUUUUGUGAAGGAUGCAUAUUCAGAAAACAAUGUAGAAUAUCUAUCCCUAUAGGAAAAUCUUGGAGGGCUAGCAAUUGCCUUGAGCUUGUACAUGCUGACUUGUGUGUACAGAUGAAGACUAAGUCACUUGAUGUGAGUUUUCUUAUGUUUACUGAUGGCUAUAGCCGUAUGAGUUGGUUGACUUUCUGAAAUUCAAUUCUGAAGCAUUUCUCAGGAAAUUCAAGGCUCUCGUAGAAAAGCAAAUGGGCUGCAACAUAAAAUUUCUUGGCACAGUUCAUGGUGGUGAAUAUUUAUCUAAUGUUUUAAAUUUAUUUGGUAAUGAGAAUAAAAUUUGCAGGGAGCUUAUCAAACUGGACUCUCCAUAGAAAAAUAGAGUUGCCUAGCGGAAAAAUCGCAUGGUGGACGGUGGUUGAGAUGGACAGAAGCCUACUUAAUGGAAGAAGUAGUGGUUGCAGUUGUCUACCUCAUGAAUAUUUCUCCAACAAAAGUUGUUUCGGAUCAAAACUCCAUAUGAAGCACAAUAAUGUAUCUUAAUAGGUUGAAAAAAAGUAUCAGGAUACUAGUAAUACAUGAGACUAAUGCAUGCAUUAUUUUUUUCUAA